UACGGAAGGCAGCAGUGGGGAAUAUUGCACAAUGGGCGCAAGCCUGAUGCAGCCAUGCCGCGUGUAUGAAGAAGGCCUUCGGGUUGUAAAGUACUUUCAGUCGUGAGGAAGGUGUUAAGGUUAAUAACCUUAGCAAUUGACGUUAGCGACAGAAGAAGCACCGGCUAACUCCGUGCCAGCAGCCGCGGUAAUACGGAGGGUGCGAGCGUUAAUCGGAAUUACUGGGCGUAAAGGGCACGCAGGCGGUUAAUUAAGUUGGAUGUGAAAUCCCCGGGCUUAACCUGGGAAUGGCAUUCAAGACUGGUUAGCUAGAGUCUUGUAGAGGGGGUUAGAAUUCCAUGUGUAGCGGUGAAAUGCGUAGAGAUGUGGAGGAAUACCGGUGGCGAAGGCGGCCCCUGGACAAAGGCUGACGCUCAUGUGCGAAAGCGUGGGGAGCAAA
rnacentral:rRNA from 1 species